CGAAGCCAACUUCAAGAUAAGAUUUCCCACCGCAAGGGUAAGACCCCAGAAAGACUAUCUGGUUGAUAGGUCGAAGGUGUAAGUGCAGCAAUGUAUUUAGCUUAUCGAUACUAAUAGGUCGAGGACUUGACCAAUAUUUAUU
rnacentral:rRNA from 1 species